UUUCUUUUUACUGAAUUUAAUCUUAUGUAAUUACAGACUUGAGUAUUUUAUAGCUAUAAUACAUUUUUAGUUAUGUAACAUUUUAUGUAAUUGAAAUAAAUAUGUGGGAGGAAUUUAGUCAACUCAACUGUAUAACCAUUCAUGUAAUUUAUAGAAUUAUAAAAAAGUUUUAAACACAUUUCUAUGUGAAUGUGAAGUGUUUUUGCAAAAACAGCACCAAAUUAUAAUCAUGUAAGUAGCAGAAGGUUUUAAUUAUUUAAUAAGACUUAAUUAUUUAAUUUAACUUAAUAAAUAAUGAUCAUCUAAUAAAUAUGACUAAUGAUGUUAGUGGUACCAAGUAUAAGAAUUUGUGUUUGUUGGUCGGGUGCAGUGGCUCACACCUGUAAUUCCCGCACUUUAGGAGGCUGAGGCAGGCAGAUCACCGGGUUUCGGAAGCUUGAAACCAGCCUGACAAACAUGGAGAAACCCCAUCUCUACUAAAAAUACAAAAUUAGCAGGGUGUGGUGGCGCACACCUGUAAUCCCAGCUACUCGGGAGGUUGAGGCAGGAGAAUCACUUGAACAUGGGAGGCAGAGGUUGCGGUGAGUCGAGAUCCCACCAUUGCCCUCUAGUCUGGACAACAAGAGUGAAACUCCAUCUCAAAACAAAAAGAAUUCGUGUUUGUCAUUAAUGUGAUCAAUGUGGAACAUUUAAUCAAAGAGUACAGAAACCUAAUGAGAGCUUAUUAGGAUGAAAUACAUGUGUUUUGAAAACUAUUCAUAUUUCUUUUACUUGUGAAUCUGUUUCAUGCAUUACCUGUUAUGAACCUUAUUAGAAAAUGAGAUCAUUUUCGUCAAUCAUCACUCAAGCGUCAUCGCCUUCCAAAGCCACCCUUGAUAGCCACAAGACGGAAUUAGUUGUUCCCUCCUGUCUGUUCCCACAGUGUGCCUGCCAUAAGUGCACCAUAAUUGUUGUUCAUCUGAUGGAAUUACAGACUGGACAACAAAUUAGAUAAAAAAUGACCAGAAAGGGAGAAGAUUGUGAAAAGCCCACCAACUCUACAGAGAGGGUAAGUUGUAUCCUCACAGUAAUAUUUGCUCAGCCUUUCACAAUAUUACUUCAUUUCUUUCCAAAAAUAAUCUUAAGAAGCAGAGAGGACUGAUGUUUUCAUUUUCAUUUUUCUCUUUGAAUAAUCUAUGAUUGCCCCUGCUUAGAUGGUGAUUUGGUUUUAAUUGAUUCUUUAUUUAAGCUAAGCAAAACUAAUACCAAGUAAAUAAUUUAAUAGCUUAUUAAAUACAAUGCUAUCACUUUGCAGGCAUUUAUAGAGAGCUUUAAAACAUCUUGAUAAAUAUAAAUUUAGUUUCAAAGCAAGAUUAUGAUCUAAUAGUAACAUUUUGCUUUAACAUGGUAGACAUCAAAAUGACUUUGUAAAGUUUAAACCACAUUUCAGUGUAAACCUAUGGUCAGAAGAGAACAGAAGAAUAUUGGGCCUGUUCUUUGUUGUGAUGGUUUUUAAAUAAAGCAAGGAAACACUACUAUUGUUGUCACGAUGCAUGUUAGUAUUAAGUCCCAGGAGAAAUCCUAAAGCUGUGAGAACUAUUUAACUUUUUUUUAGCCCAGUGUUUUUCUAACUUCGUUGACUAUGAAACAGUGUCCUUCACAAGUCAUUCUAAUCCUAACUAAUGCAGUUAGUUAGUUUCUUAAUUACUUAGUUUGGGAAUACUUAACUUUUCAAACAUUGGUGUUGAAAAAAC
rnacentral:lncRNA from 1 species